AUGUCGGAACGCUCAUGCGUGCAUCCAUGUGUCAUGCAUGCUCCCAUCCUCCCACGUACGUGUCAACGAGAAGCUAGCGUCCGCGUCGUCAAUAAAACCAAGGUCACCUACACAUACCUAGCGGCUGAGCAAGCCGAGUCACGGUGGCACACAGUGAAAGACACGGGAGACAACGAGAAGCAAAGCGCAGUAGAGAUUAUGGCUCGUGGUGCCCCUCUGCUUGCAGCAGCAGUGAUAGCUGCGGUGGCACUUGGGUCUGUAGGGGCGACAGAGCAGGAGGCCGCCGGCGGAGGGGACGACGACUUGAGUCAGCCUCCAGUGGCGCAGGGGCUGUCCUUCGACUUCUACCGGCAGAGCUGCCCCAGGGCCGAGUCCAUCGUGCACGACUUCGUCCGUGAUGUCGUCAGCAAGGACGUCGGCCUCGCCGCCGGCCUGCUCCGCCCCUACUUUUUACGUAGCUGA
rnacentral:rRNA from 1 species